rnacentral:sRNA from 1 species
GCCGGGCGUGGUGGUGGGCACCUGUAAUCCCAACCACUCAGGAGGCUGAGGCAGAGAAUUGCUUGAACCUGGGAGGCGGAGGUUGCAGUGAGCCAAGAUCACGCCACUACACUCCAGCCUGGGCGACAGAGCGAGACUCCUCUCAAAAAAAAAAAAAGAGAUGGAGUCUUGCUCUGUCGCCCAGGCUGGAGUGCAAUGGCGCAAUCUCAGCCCACUGCAACCUCCGCCUCCCAGCUUCAAGUGAUUCUCCUGCCUCA